rnacentral:rRNA from 1 species
GAAGGGGGCUAGCGUUGUUCGGAAUUACUGGGCGUAAAGGGCGCGUAGGCGGCCGUUUAAGUCAGACGUGAAAUCCCUCGGCUCAACCGGGGAACUGCGUCUGAUACUGGGUGGCUUGAAUCCGGGAGAGGGAUGUGGAAUUCCAGGUGUAGCGGUGAAAUGCGUAGAUAUCUGGAGGAACACCGGUGGCGAAGGCGGCAUCCUGGACCGGUAUUGACGCUGAGGCGCGAAAGCCAGGGGAGCAAACGGGAUUAGAUACCCCGGUAGUCCUGGCCCUAAACGAUGAGUGCUUGGUGUGGCGGGUAUCGAUCCCUGCCGUGCCGAAGCUAACGCAUUAAGCACUCCGCCUGGGGAGUACGGUCGCAAGGCUG